rnacentral:rRNA from 1 species
UAGAGUUUGAUCCUGGCUCAGGAUGAACGCUAGCUACAGGCUUAACACAUGCAAGUCGAGGGGCAGCAUGUUGGUUGCUUGCAACCAACGAUGGCGACCGGCGCACGGGUGAGUAACGCGUAUCCAACCUGCCCUUGUCCACCGGAUAACCCGUCGAAAGGCGGACUAACACGGUAUGCAGUCCACAGCAGACAUCUAACGUGGACGAAAUGUGAAGGAGAAGGAUGGGGAUGCGUCUGAUUAGCUUGUUGGCGGGGUAACGGCCCACCAAGGCGACGAUCAGUAGGGGUUCUGAGAGGAAGGUCCCCCACAUUGGAACUGAGACACGGUCCAAACUCCUACGGGAGGCAGCAGUGAGGAAUAUUGGUCAAUGGGCGAGAGCCUGAACCAGCCAAGUAGCGUGCAGGAAGACGGCCCUAUGGGUUGUAAACUGCUUUUAUACGGGGAUAAAGUGAGCCACGUGUGGCUUAUUGCAGGUACCGUAUGAAUAAGGACCGGCUAAUUCCGUGCCAGCAGCCGCGGUAAUACGGAAGGUCCGGGCGUUAUCCGGAUUUAUUGGGUUUAAAGGGAGCGUAGGCCGUCUGUUAAGCGUGUUGUGAAAUGUCGGGGCUCAACCUGGGCAUUGCAGCGCGAACUGGCAGACUUGAGUGCGCAGGAAGUAGGCGGAAUUCGUCGUGUAGCGGUGAAAUGCUUAGAUAUGACGAAGAACUCCGAUUGCGAAGGCAGCCUGCUGUAGCGUAACUGACGCUGAAGCUCGAAAGCGUGGGUAUCGAACAGGAUUAGAUACCCUGGUAGUCCACGCGGU